rnacentral:rRNA from 1 species
AACGAACGCUGGCGGCAUGCCUAGCACAUGCAAGUCGAACGAUCCCUUCGGGGAUAGUGGCGCACGGGUGCGUAACGCGUGGGAACCUGCCCUUAGGUUCGGAAUAACUCAGAGAAAUUUGAGCUAAUACCGGAUAAUGUCUUCGGACCAAAGAUUUAUCGCCUUUGGAUGGGCCCGCGUUGGAUUAGCUAGUUGGUGGGGUAAAGGCCUACCAAGGCGACGAUCCAUAGCUGGUCUGAGAGGAUGAUCAGCCACACUGGGACUGAGACACGGCCCAGACUCCUACGGGAGGCAGCAGUGGGGAAUAUUGGACAAUGGGCGAAAGCCUGAUCCAGCAAUGCCGCGUGAGUGAUGAAGGCCUUAGGGUUGUAAAGCUCUUUUACCCGGGAUGAUAAUGACAGUACCGGGAGAAUAAGCCCCGGCUAACUCCGU